rnacentral:rRNA from 1 species
CCUACGGGUGGCAGCAGUGGGGAAUAUUGGGCAAUGGGCGCAAGCCUGACCCAGCAACGCCGCGUGAAGGAAGAAGGCCUUCGGGUUGUAAACUUCUUUUAUCAGGGACGAAGCAAAUGACGGUACCUGAGGAAUAAGCCCCGGCUAACUACGUGCCAGCAGCAGCGGUAAUACGUAGGUGGCAAGCGUUAUUCGGAUUUACUGGGUGUAAAGGGUGUGUAGGCGGGAUGGCAAGUAAGAGGUGAAAACCAUGGGCUCAACCCAUGGCCUGCAUUUGAAACUGUACUUCUUGAGUGCUGGAGAGGAAAGUGGAAUUCCGUGUGUAGCGGUGAAAUGCGUAGAUAUAAGGAGGAACACCAGUGGCGAAGGCGGAUUGCUGGACAGUAACUGACGCUGAGGCGCGAAAGCGUGGGGAGCAAACAGGAUUAGAUACCCCUGUAGUC